GACCGGCUAGCUUAGUCAAUAGAGCAUGAAACUCUUUAUCUCAAGGUCGUGGUUUCGAGCCCCACGGAAGUUU